AUGGGAACGCGAAGAACCUUACCUAGACUUGACAUCUCCUGAAUAGUGUAGAGAUACAUGAAGCCCUUCGGGGCAGGAAGACAGGUGGUGCAUGGUUGUCGUCAGCUCGUGUCGUGAGAUGUUGGGUUAAGUCCCGCAACGAGCGCAACCCUUAUCCUUUGUUGCCAGCGGUUAGGCCGGGAACUCAAAGGAGACUGCCAGUGAUAAACUGGAGGAAGGUGGGGAUGACGUCAAGUCAUCAUGGCCCUUAUGUCUAGGGCAACACACGUGCUACAAUGGUGAGUACAGAUAGAUGCGAUACCGCAAGGUGGAGCCAAACUCUAAAACUCAUCCCAGUUCGGAUUGUAGGCUGCAACUCGCCUACAUGAAGUUGGAGUUGCUAGUAAUCGCGAAUCAGAAUGUCGCGGUGAAUACGUUCCCGGGUCUUGUACACACCG
rnacentral:rRNA from 1 species